UACGUAGGGAGCAAGCGUUGUCCGGAUUUACUGGGUGUAAAGGGUGCGUAGGCGGCUUUGCAAGUCAGAUGUGAAAUCUAUGGGCUCAACCCAUAAACUGCAUUUGAAACUGUAGAGCUUGAGUGAAGUAGAGGCAGGCGGAAUUCCCCGUGUAGCGGUGAAAUGCGUAGAGAUGGGGAGGAACACCAGUGGCGAAGGCGGCCUGCUGGGCUUUAACUGACGCUGAGGCACGAAAGCGUGGGUAGCAAACAGGAUUAGAUACCCUGGUAGUCCACGCUGUAAACGAUGAUUACUAGGUGUGGGGGGUCUGACCCCUUCCGUGCCGGAGUUAACACAAUAAGUAAUCCACCUGGGGAGUACGGCCGCAAGGUUGAA
rnacentral:rRNA from 1 species